rnacentral:rRNA from 1 species
GGUGAAAUUCUUGGACCGUCGCAAGACGGACAGAAGCGAAAGCAUUUGCCAAAAACGUUUUCAUUGAUCAAGAACGAAAGUUAGAGGUUCGAAGGCGAUCAGAUACCGCCCUAGUUCUAACCAUAAACGAUGCCAGCUAGCGAUCCGCCGACGUUCCUCCGAUGACUCGGCGGGCAGCUUCCGGGAAACCAAAGCUUUUGGGUUCCGGGGGAAGUAUGGUUGCAAAGCUGAAACUUAAAGGAAUUGACGGAAGGGCACCACCAGGAGUGGAGCCUGCGGCUUAAUUUGACUCAACACGGGAAACCUCACCAGGCCCGGACACCGGAAGGAUUGACAGAUUGAGAGCUCUUUCUUGAUUCGGUGGGUGGUGGUGCAUGGCCGUUCUUA